CUUGCAAUCACUAAUUCUUCAUCUCAUACUUGUCCACUUUGCCGUGUGAUGAACUUAAAACCAUGAGAAAAAGAUUUUGAAAAUCAUUUCUGCUCAUUGUAUGUUACCUUUCCAUUUCUGUCAACAUGGGGUACUGUGCAACAGAGGCAGGAUUGAUAAAAAACCACAAUAACAAAAAAAAGUCCUUAUUUGAGGAAAGGCAAAGAUGAGAGCUCACAGGAAGCCCUCCCCAAAGUGCUGAGCCUUGGAAGAUGAAAAACAUGAGUACCAUGCAUGAGAUGGAGAUGACAGUGCUCCUCCUUACAAUGAAAUGAGAGCAGGAGGAACCAAGGACAGGAUCUGGAUAGCCCACAAACGAAGGGCCAUCCUUGUGGAUAUGAACUCAAGUGUCCAUUAACUGAUGAAUGAAUAGAAUGUGGUAUACCCAUACCGUGGAAUACUAUUCAGCCACAAA